rnacentral:rRNA from 1 species
UAGGGAAUCUUCCGCAAUGGGCGAAAGCCUGACGGAGCAACGCCGCGUGAGUGAUGAAGGUCUUCGGAUCGUAAAACUCUGUUACUAGGGAAGAACAAAUGUGUAAGUAACUAUGCACGUCUUGACGGUACCUAAUCAGAAAGCCACGGCUAACUACGUGCCAGCAGCCGCGGUAAUACGAAGGUGGCAAGCGUUCUCCGGAAUUAUUGGGCGUAAAGCGCGCGUAGGCGGUUUUUUAAGUCAGAUGUGAAAGCCCACGGCUCAACCGUGGAGGUGCAUUGGAAACUGGAAGUCUUGAGUGUGGUAGAGGAAAGUGGAAUUCCGUGUGUAGCGGUGAAAUGCGCAGAGAUAUGGAGGAACACCAGUGGCGAAGGCGACUUUCUGGUCUGUAACUGACGCUGAGGUGCGAAAGCGUGGGGAGCAAACAGG